AUGAACGCUAGCGGCAGGCUUACACAUGCAAGUCGAGGGGUAACGACUCCGUCUUCGGAUGGAGGUCGACGACCGGCGCACGGGUGAGUAACGCGUAUGCAACCUACCUUUUACAGGAGGAUAGCCCAGAGAAAUUUGGAUUAAUACUCCAUAGUACUAAUGAAUCACCUGGUUUAUUAGUUAAAACUCCGGUGGUAAAAGAUGGGCAUGCGUGUCAUUAGCUAGUUGGUAAGGUAACGGCUUACCAAGGCGAAGAUGACUAGGGGUUCUGAGAGGAAGAUCCCCCACACUGGUACUGAGACACGGACCAGACUCCUACGGGAGGCAGCAGUGAGGAAUAUUGGUCAAUGGGUGAGAGCCUGAACCAGCCAUGUCGCGUGAAGGAAGACUGCCCUAUGGGUUGUAAACUUCUUUUCUGCAGGAAGAAAUCACUCUACGUGUAGGGUGUUGCCGGUACUGCAGGAAUAAGCAUCGGCUAACUCCGUGCCAGCAGCCGCGGUAAUACGGAGGAUGCAAGCGUUAUCCGGAUUUAUUGGGUUUAAAGGGUGCGUAGGCGGGCUUGUAAGUCAGUGGUGAAAUGCUGUGGCUUAACCAUAGAAUUGCCAUUGAAACUGCAAGUCUUGAGUACAGUUGAGGUGGGCGGAAUGAGUAAUGUAGCGGUGAAAUGCAUAGAUAUUACUCAGAACUCCGAUUGCGUAGGCAGCUUGCUAAAACUGUAACUGACGCUGAUGCACGAAAGCGUGGGGAGCGAACAGGAUUAGAUACCCUGGUAGUCCACGCUGUAAACGAUGAGCACUGGUUGUUGGCAAUACACCGUCAGCGACUGAGCGAAAGUAUUAAGUGCUCCACCUGGGGAGUACGUCGGCAACGAUGAAACUCCAAGGAAUUGACGGGGGCCCGCACAAGCGGAGGAACCUGUGGUCUAAUUCGAUGAUA
rnacentral:rRNA from 1 species